rnacentral:rRNA from 1 species
AAUAGAUACCCGGGUAGCCCACGCCGUAAACGAUGAGUGCUAGGUGUUAGGGGGGUCCAACCCCUUAGUGCUGAAGUUAACACAUUAAGCACUCCGCCUGGGGAGUACGACCGCAAGGUUGAAACUCAAAGGAAUUGACGGGGGGCCCGCACAAGCAGUGGAGCAUGUGGUUUAAUUCGAAGCAACGCGAAGAACCUUACCAGGUCUUGACAUCCUCUGACAACCCUAGAGAUAGGGCGUUCCCCUUCGGGGGACAGAGUGACAGGUGGUGCAUGGUUGUCGUCAGCUCGUGUCGUGAGAUGUUGGGUUAAGUCCCGCAACGAGCGCAACCCUUGAUGUUAGUUGCCAGCAUUAAGUUGGGCACUCUAACGUGACUGCCGGUGACAAACCGGAGGAAGGUGGGGAUGACGUCAAAUCAUCAUGCCCCUUAUGACCUGGGCUACACACGUGCUACAAUGGGCGGCACAAAGGGCAGCGAAACCGCGAGGUCGAGCGAAUCCCAUAAAGCCGCUCUCAGUUCGGAUUGCAGGCUGC